UUCCGGUUGAUCCUGCCGGACCCGACUGCUAUCAGAGUGGGACUAAGCCAUGCGAGUCGACGUAGCAAUGCGUGGCAAACGGCUCAGUAACACGUAGUCAACAUGCCCAGGGGACGUGGAUAACCUCGGGAAACUGAGAAUAAACCACGAUAGGUCACGAUUUCUGGAAUGAAUCAUGGCAUAAAUCUACAUGGCCCCUGGAUUGGACUGCGGCCGAUCAGGCAGUUGGUGAGGUAAUGGCCCACCAAACCUAUAACCGGUACGGGCUCUGAGAGGAGAAGCCCGGAGAUGGGCACUGAGACAAGGGCCCAGGCCCUAUGGGGCGCAGCAGGCGCGAAACCUCUGCAAUAGGCGAAAGCCUGACAGGGUUACUCUGAGUGAUUUCCGCUAAGGGGAUCUUUUGGCACCUCUAAAAAUGGUGCAGAAUAAGGGGUGGGCAAGUCUGGUGUCAGCCGCCGCGGUAAUACCAGCACCCCGAGUGGUCGGGACGAUUAUUGGGCCUAAAGCAUCCGUAGCCGGUUCUGCAAGUCUUCCGUUAAAUCCAGCCGCUCAACGGAUGGGCCGCGGAGGAUACUAUAGGACUAGGAGGCGGGAGAGGCAAGCGGUACUCAGUGGGUAGGGGUAAAAUCCUUUGAUCCAUUGAAGACCACCAGUGGCGAAGGCGGCUUGCCAGUACGCGCUCGACGGUGAGGGAUGAAAGCUGGGGGAGCAAACCGGAUUAGAUACCCGGGUAGUCCCAG
rnacentral:rRNA from 1 species